AGCGAACGCUGGCGGCAGGCCUAACACAUGCAAGUCGAGCGCCCGUAGCAAUACGGGAGCGGCAGACGGGAGAGUAACACGUGGGAACGUGCCCUUCAGUUCGGAACAACCCAGGGAAACUUGGGCUAAUACCGGAUACGUCCGUAAGGAGAAAGAUUUAUCGCUGAAGGAUCGGCCCGCGUCUGAUUAGCUUGUUGGUGAGGUAACGGCUCACCAAGGCGACGAUCAGUAGCUGGUCUGAGAGGAUGAUCAGCCUCACUGGGACUGAGACACGGCCCAGACUCCUACGGGAGGCAGCAGUGGGGAAGAUUGGACAAUGGGCGCAAGCCUGAUCCAGCCAUGCCGCGUGGGUGAUGAAGGCCCUAGGGUUGUAAAGCCCUUUCGGCGGGGAAGAUAAUGACGGUACCCGCAGAAGAAGCCCCGGCUAACUUCGUGCCAGCCGCCGCCGUAAAAC
rnacentral:rRNA from 1 species